GGAGUGAUUGGUAGGUGUAGCUGAAGAAACAGGGACCUAAAGCUGCCAAAGGAAAUAGGAGGAGCGAAAAGAGAUUUUGAUACCGUGCUGAAAGCUGCAAACAGAUGAAGUAGGGGAGAAAAGGAGACCUUGAAAGGACAGAGAGAACUCGAUCAAGGGAGAAGCUUGCUGAGCGUUCUGUGCUACCUGAUCUAGGAAAACACAGCUUCUGAAAUGUCAUCGCUCAGCAGUGAUUGCCCACACUUGGAGUCAGUUGGUGAGAUAACAAAAGAGGAACUGAUACAGAAAUCUCAUGGCACUUGUCAGGACUGUAAAGUUAGAGGACCCAACCUGUGGGCAUGCUUAGAGGACAGAUGUUCGUAUGUUGGCUGUGGUGAAUCCCAUGUAGAUCACAGUACCACCCAUUCACAGGAAACAAAACAUUGUCUAACUGUCAACCUUACUACACUCCGUGUUUGGUGUUAUGCCUGUAGUAAGGAAGUAUUCCUGGACAGAAAAUUUGGAUCUCAUUCUCCGCUACCAAAUGCGAGACUCUCUCACCAAACACAAGAAAAUACUGUGCAGGACUUUAAAAUACCUAGUAAUCCUGUACUGAAGAUUCCGCUAGCAGCUGUUUUUGAUGAUCUAGAUACAGAAGUGGAAGAAGAUGAGUUAAAGACUAGAGGUCUUACAGGAUUAAAAAAUAUUGGAAACACAUGUUACAUGAAUGCAGCUUUACAGGCUCUUUCCAACUGCCCACCUUUGACGCACUUUUUUCUUGAUUGUGGAGCUUUAGCCAGAACAGAUAAGAAACCAGCAAUUUGUAAAAGUUACCUCAAGCUGAUGACAGAACUCUGGCACAAAAGCAGGCCUGGUUCUGUUGUUCCUACUGGUUUAUUUCAAGGAAUUAAAACUGUUAAUCCAACAUUUCGAGGCUAUUCUCAACAGGAUGCGCAAGAAUUUUUGCGUUGUCUAAUGGACUUGCUUCAUGAAGAACUAAAAGAACCAGUUGUAGAAGUAGAAGAUUCCCAGCCGAUGAGUGUUGAAGAGAGUAUGGAAGGAGACAAGAGCCCAUCAGAUGUAGGCUUUCAGUCUUGUGAAUCCUAUGGUCCCAAUGAUAAAUCAGAAAAUGAGUCUAUCUUCAAACCUAUCUUAGAGGAUCCUAUAGAGACAACUAUGUUGAUUCAGGAUGAUGAAAACAGCUCAGUCAUGGCCAAAGACUGGCAGAAAGAAAAAGCAUUGUGCAACAAGCUUAACCAAGAAAGUUCUAUGGAAGACUUGGAAAAAGACACAAAUGCUGCUUCAGAAACCACUGAAUUUUUAAAUAAUCAAGGAACUGUCAAAGUACAAAUACACGGCAGAUUCUCAGAAUACAUCAGUGAUGUCCACAUGAAUGAUCUGUCUGCAGUCCAAAGCCCCUCAUCAAAUGAAGGGAUGAAUGCACGCUUAUCAAACAGUCCUCCAAAGUCAUGCUCAUCAUGCCCUACACUGGCACCAGCCCACAAAAAAGUUUCAACUGUAUCUUCACCAAAAAGGAAGAAACGCAAGAAGUACAGGAGUGUUAUCUCUGACAUAUUUGAUGGAACUAUAAUAAGCUCAGUACAGUGCUUGACUUGUGAUCGGGUGUCUGUAACCCUGGAGACCUUUCAGGAUCUGUCUUUGCCUAUUCCAGGUAAGGAAGAUCUUGCUAAACUCCAUUCUGCCAGUCAUCAGACUUCUCUAGUCAAGGCAGGAUCAUGUGGAGAAGCAUAUGCACCCCAGGGAUGGAUAGCUUUUUUUAUGGAGUAUUUCAAAAGGUUUGUUGUCUCAUGUGUUCCUAGCUGGUUUUGGGGUCCAGUUGUAAACUUACAAGAUUGUCUUGCUGCCUUUUUCGCCAGAGAUGAGCUCAAGGGUGAUAACAUGUACAGUUGUGGAAAGUGUAAAAAGUUAAGAAAUGGAGUUAAAUUCUGCAAAGUUCAAAAAUUUCCUGAGAUAUUGUGCAUUCAUCUCAAAAGAUUUAGACAUGAGCUUAUGUUUUCCACAAAAAUUGGGACUCAUGUAUCCUUUCCCCUGGAAGGACUUGAUCUUCAGCCUUUCCUUGCUAAGGACAGUCCAGCUCAAAUAGUGACUUAUGAUCUGAUAUCUGUCAUCUGUCAUCAUGGAACUGCCAGCAGUGGACAUUAUAUAGCUUAUUGUCGAAACAACUUAAAUAAUUUGUGGUAUGAAUUUGAUGACCAGAGUGUCACAGAAGUAUCUGAAUCCACUGUGCAAAAUGCAGAAGCAUAUGUUCUCUUCUACAGGAAGAGCAGUGAAGAAGCACAGAGAGAAAGACGGAGGAUAUCAGGUCUACUGAAUAUGAUGGAACCAAGCCUUCUGCAAUUUUAUGUUUCCAGACAGUGGUUAAAUAAAUUCAAGACUUUUGCAGAGCCAGGACCAAUUUCAAAUAACGAUUUUCUCUGUAUGCAUGGAGGUGUUCCUCCACCCAAGGCAAAUUUCAUAGAAGACCUGGUUGUAAUGCUACCUCAAAAUAUAUGGGAUAAUCUGUAUAGCAGGUAUGGAGGAGGACCAGCUGUUAAUCAUCUGUAUGUUUGUCAUACCUGCCAAGUAGAGUCUGAAAGAAUUGAAAAAAGAAGGAAAAACGAAUUGGAAAUGUUUAUUCGGCUGAAUAGAGCAUUCCAGGAAGAAGAAUCUCCAUCAACUUUUUACUGCAUCAGCAUGCAAUGGUUCAGAGAAUGGGAAGGAUUUGUAAAGGGCAAAGACAGUGAUCCUCCUGGUCCUAUUGAUAAUGCCAAGAUUGCGGUCACAAAAUGUGGAAAUGUUGUACUAAAGCAAGGUGCAGAUUCUGGACAGAUAUCUGAAGAAACAUGGAAUUUUCUUCAGUCAAUCUAUGGUGGAGGUCCAGAGAUUAUACUCAGACCACCUGUUCCUCCAGUAGACCCUGAUAUCUUGCAGACAGAGGAGAAGAUUGAAUUAGAAACUCAUGGUCUGUAGCUAUUGAGAUCAAGAUGAAUGUGUAAGGAAUUCAGCUUCCUUACAGAAUGCCCGAUACAUUCCUGAAAGUUUUAUUCUCUGAUGUUUGUAGGAGGCGAAGCUCACUGGGCAUUAUGUAAACUAAAGAAUAAUAAGUUGAAAUAUGUAUUACAAUUUGUUUAAAUAGAGGCUUGUUUCUCUGUUUUGGAAGGCAUGUGGUUUGUACAUUUUGGAUUGUUUGGUCAACGGAAAACAAUGUCAUUUCUGGACCUUGGUGUAACUCAAAAUCCUGUAGUAACCUUAGACUUAAAUUGGAGCAAAAUUUUAGAGAUGUCAUAAAAUAACUUUCUUGAUUCCUGAUCGGACUUCUGACAUCUACAAACUGCUGCCUGUUUUAAUUGUACAGUUUUGACAAGCCUAGGUAUACGGGGAGUAUAUUUUAAAUGGAUCACAAUCAUUGAUUUAAUAAAAAGGAGGAGGAAAAAAUAACUUCCUAAAUGCUCAGGAAAAAAUUGUCUUGCUUUUUUUGCACUGUAAGUACAUAAAACUAGUGGUAUAUAACCUCCAAAUACUUUUUGUUUUUGAAUAGAUCAAACAUUAGUCUAGAUGGAAUAUUGUUUUAGUCAGCAAAUGUCAUAAUUUAUUACCUACUAAAUUUUGCAUCUUAUAGGCUUCUGUAACUCUAUAAGCCUGGCUAGUAUCUUUAAUAAUAUCUGUGACAAAAGAUUUUAGUCUUCUCUAGGGUGGUGUUUGAGAGCAUGAAGUGUGAAAUGUAAAAUGAUUGUGGAUGUGAGUGGUAUAAAUUUGAGAAAUUAAAUUGUCUGGUCUCCUGAAUUAUAUUCACAGAGCAGUUCCUUUUGAAGGAUUAUAUUGUAUUGCUAAAAAUAGGCAGUGGCAUGAUGACCUACGAUGUCAGAAGCUGGAUGAAAUAUAUAUAUAUAUAUAUAUAUAUAGCAAAACUUUACUGAAUGGUUCAUGUUGAAAUGCAGCAUGGCAUUUGCUCUUGUUUUUGCCUGAUAUUGUUACCAAAUAAGCAGCAUUAUUCAAGGCUGGAUCAAUAAAAUAAAAAUAAAAAUAAACCCUUCAAUUGUGGAAGGAGGGAGAAAGCUUUCUUAAAUGUUUUUCACUUAUUACAUCAAUACAAAACCUUUCAAAGCAAUACUGUGAUACUGCUUUCACACCUAUAUAAGUGUAUUCCUUGACUGCUUUACAUUUAGGCAAUGAUGUUGACAAUUCUAGCUCCAAAGCAAGCAAAUGUUGAGACAACAUUCUUCUGGAUAAUUUUAUAUAUAGUAUAAAACAAACCAUUUUUGUGCUUUGUAAAGCACUUAAAGUCAUUCUGGUUAAAGAUCCAUAUAUAAUAUUCCUAGAUGGUGUCCUGUAAUCUGAAGUACUUGACCCUGUUACUAACGUGCCACAUAGCAGGAGCCGGUUCUGUCUGAGUAGCUAAAAAUCCCAAUAUUUUAGCUGAGAAGAGCUAGAGCAAGGAACAAAAGGAACUAAGCUAGGUUUGUAAUGUGUCUUACCUUUGAUCCUCUUAACUCAUCACCUUUACUUUGUCGAUAAUCUGAUACCAUUUAGUAUUUCUCUGUAGUUCUUGUAGCAUUCGUUGAGCUAAACCAAACUUAUGUUCCUAUUUCAGAUGACACAGCCUAUAAAAACCACAUAUAAAAUACAUUGUACUUCAGCAUUUUGCUUUGCUAUAAGUUGCUUUCAUGAGGUAAGCUGGAGUCUAAUAGGAUUGCAUCUUGUACCCUUUUUUGGCCUCUAAGUCCAGUAAGAAAAAACUGAAAGAGUAGGCGACUUGCACUUUCCAGGCUGCAACUAUGUAAGUUAAGUCAUAUAUAAAGGUAACUUAAUCUCAGUUGGGGGCACAUUGGCUUAAAAUGGAGGUAGGUACAGAGGAGAGAGCUCUGGAGAGAUUUGGAAAAAGAAUACUAGCAGUCUUGUAUAUAGAUCGUGUGGGGCUCAAAAACCAGAAAGGAGAUUGAUGGAAUGCCCUUUUCAUCCCCAAGUAAGGCCUAGGAAUCGAGAGAAAUGUGAGGAAUCUGUCCUAAGUAAAUGAGGCUUGCAUUGAACUAAAGAAAAAUUAAUCUUUUUUGUAAUCGUAAAUGUUAGGUAGAAGAUGAAUAAAGCAGCACAGAUGGGAGGAAACCAACAGCAAUACGAAGCCAAUAAUUAAAUGAAUAAGGAAAAAAUUACUCAGUUUUAAAUUCACAGGUAACUCUUGCCCAGUUUGUUAAUUUUCUGAACUUGUGUGUUUCUCCUUAAAUGCUAAAGAGUUCUAAAGGUCUUGGGAUAGCUGCAACUGAGAAGCCUUGCUCAUACACAGGAGUAACUCUAAAGGAACACCAAGCAGAGCCCUUAACUAUCUGACCAUGCAUUUCUACAAUUUUAUAUUAGUAGAUAAGGUACGUUGAGGUUAAUACCAAGUUUCCCCCGUUAUGUAUACGGUAAACAAACAUAUCUGUUAAACUACAAAGUUAUCUCACUGUUUAACUUGCUUAUGAAUGUUCGAUAGUAACUUGCUGACCUUGGCCUAUGGGAGAUGCUUCUAGCUUCCCAUCUCUGUUUUUUUUGUCUUUUUUUUUUUUUUUCCUUUUAUUAGGAUGACUAAAUUCAAACCUGGGUCUAUACUAUCUAGGCUUAACUUGUUCUUUGCUAAGCUUUUAUCUGAGUUAAGCUAUUUUUAAGGUUGUUAAUAUGUUUGGCUAAAAAUCUACUAAUAGCUCCGUUUACUUUAGGAAUAAUUUUCCCUAUGUGAUGUUCUUAAUUGGAAAUUUGAGAAAUACAUUCUUGGUUAAAUCACUGUAUGGUGAUUAAGUUUACUAUCUUAUUUAAUAUUUCCAUUAAUCAGGAUGGUAGAACAGAGUGCACUUAUGUUUUUAAAAAAAAAAAAACAACAAUUUGUAAGAGAAAAAAGGAUUGAGUGUUGGAUAUCAGUUUUUUAGCGGAAUGAAGCAGUUCUGGGUAUUAUAGCAGAUCAGACUAAGAGUUAAAAUCUGAUUAAAAAAUUGUUCUGGGUAAUAGUAACAAAAGCAUCAGAUGUAAGGCACAGGAGGUAAUUAUUAUGCUCUACUUGGUGCUGUACUUGGUGGUGAGAUCUCAUCUGUAUUGUUCGCAAUUUUGGAUACUAUAUGGUGAUAAAUACAAGUUGGGAGGAGAGUAUUUCAGAGGUAAAAACAAAGAAAACUCGGAAGUUACCUAGCUUAAAAGAAUGUUGAAGGAAGAUGCAAGACUUCUACUGUGGAAACAAUUGCUGGAUGAUAGUGAACAAUUUUUUUUGUAGAAAAACAGGACUAUUUGCCUAAAUAUUAGCAGUGAUGACAUGUACUGGAUAUUAGGUAGCCUCUUAGAAGUUUUCUGCUCUCAGUUCUGUAGAAAUUUUUUCACUGGAUGUCUGGGAAUUCAUAGUGAAACAUAAAUUGUGAUGCAUGUACACAAGCCACUUUGAACUAGCAGUCAUGAAAUACCUCUGUUACCUUCAGUAGCAGGCAUCUUCCCACUGCAGCUGUUUGUCAUGCUAAAAAAGAAAAAAAAAAAAAUCCCUGAGUCUGCAGAGAUGAAAUAGAUGCAUUUGUGCCCAAGUAAGAGAGUUCCAGAUGGAUGACUUCUCUAUUUUACUUUUAACCCUUUGAGAAUUCUGUAAGAGACUUUAUGCCAUGGAAGUGAAAGAAGCCUGUUCAAAAUAAGACAGUUUGGGAGAAUGCCAGAUAGAUCUCUUGCAUAUAUUAGAGGGAAGGCAGCGCUUCAGAGUAUAGGUACAGAAGAAACCCUUGCUGUGAAGAGAGCUCUGAUUCAUAGCAGAGCAGGAACGUGUUGCAGGAAGGAAUUACCUUUUUUUCCUGGAAGUUUUUAACCAAUUUUCUUGGGUUCUUUGUCCAUUUGUUUCCAGUUGAGGAAACAAGGCAGUGUGUUUAGAUGCCAGGGAAGCCGUCGUUUCAAGAAGAGGAAAAUUCAGAAGGGUCCUGGUUCCAGGUCUGGGAAUCUAGAUGUGGGCUACUAAAAAAAAAGUAUUGUUCAGUCUGGUAAUGUUGGUGCUCUCUUCUGAAGAAACUAGCUUAUGAGCUCUUAGUUUGAUUUCUAAAUUGUUCGAGCUUUUUUUGCAAAUAGUAUAACUAAUUCUUCAUCUGAACCCCCUUUCCCACACCCUCACCCUCCCCCCAGCCCCAGCAUCCAGAAGACUGCUUCGAGUACUGUGUGAUGUAGCUGAAAACUGGGGAAAACUAGCUGAAGAGCUAUUAAAUUAGUUACUGGCAAAAUAAGGCACUCUCGCAAUAUGCUUCGGAGGUGAGAGAUAAAGGACACUUCAGUUGAAUGCAGUAACGGGUGUCAGUCUUCUGUCAGUAAUAACCUGGAAGUUUGCUAGGUUUGCCUGGGAGUUGCGCAGUCAUAUUAUAAUGCUUAUCUGCUCUACUGACAGAGCUAUGCUGAUAGGAAUGAACUUCUGACCAAGCUAUCGAAGUAGAGAUGUAAGAAGACUGGAGCCAGCAAGUUGUAGUCCAUUAGUCCCUGAGUUUGAAGGCUAGAUGAUAAUGUACUUUUAGAAAUCUGUCCCCUUUCAGUAGAGUUAGACUCGGUGAUAUCUAAAAGAACUCUUAUUUAAAGGCUUUUAUAUAUUUGUAAGAUCUCAUAUUUUGGUAAAGACAACCCUUACGAGUAGGAUUAUUUUAUAUAAGUAGCUAUUGAUUUAGCAGUGUGUCCCCCUGACUGUGGGACGCUGCAUGAAAAGUUAGAAAUACGUUUGGCUGUAAAAUCUAUUAGGCUGAUGAAAUAGCUUUCAUUUGUGAAGCAGAAGUUAGUUAAGUAUGCUCAUCUAGGCCUGACUUUUUAUUGUGAAAUCUGGUGUAAUUUGCUCUACUAAUGCAUUAUGCUAAUGUGCUAAUCCUUCUUAAAUUCAAAAUUAUUUUGUGGGGGGCGGUGGGGUUGUAAUACAAGAUAUCCUAGGUUUCCUUAAAACUAAAACUUGGUCUAAAGCGAAGAAGUUUCUUUUGCGUUAGUAUUAUAGAUGUUUUUUCAUAAUGAUAGUGCUAACGUUUGAUUUUUUUUUUUUUCUUCUUUUUUUCCUUAGAUGUACUGUUAUUAAUCAUGUAAGCUCAUUUGGAAAAGUAAACCAGAGAUUGGGAAAAUUUGCAGGAGAACUUAACGAUUAUCUGUUUAAAGGGGCAAGCAGAUUCUUCACAUUUGCCGUACACGUCUCUUAUACUGAACUAAGAAAAUUCCGUUCCAUUUAUUCUUUUUCAAUUCCCUAUAUACAUCUGGCUUAAUGCAGUCUAAGCAGUUUUCUCACUGAAAACCUUUCAGCUCUUCAUUUUACCCAGGAAAUGAGUAAAACAACUAGGCUUUUUUAUUCUUCCAAACAGAUGGCUUUUCUGGCUUCCCUCUAUACUUGAGCCAUCCAGAGCUAACAAUUAGUAGCAGGAAGCAAAAUAGAUUCUAGAUUUCUGAAGUGUCACAAAACAAAACAAAUCACUUUCAGCAUUAUUUCACAGAAAUUGUCUGGCUGCAAACAAACUUGGUUCAUAUUAGCCUUAAAAAUCUUAGCAGAUUAGAAAAUAGCCUCAUCAGUGACAAAUUUUCAAAGGGCUAUUCUUACCAGCAGUGGAAAGUAUAACUUGUUUUCUUGAAUAUGUAAUGCAUAUUGCUGUUUAAAACAUGUCAUUCAAAAAGGUGAUGUGGCUUUGCUGGCAUUGAAAAAAUGUUAGGACUAAGCACUGCCAAACAAUAAGGUAAAACAUCAUCUGUUUAUAACACAUUUAAUAUUAGAUACUUGCUUACAAUAUCUGUCCUACACAUUUUUCACUGGAGGUUGAUAUCUCUUAUUGUAUCACAAAACUUUUCUCCCUUCCUAAAUGUGUGACAGCUGUGACAUGUAGAUAGUAAAAAGUUCGUUUGCAAGAAACACUGAUGUCUGAUAAGUUUUAUGGAUUCUUAGUAAUGCCAAGUCACUUUGACCACAGGUUUCCUCGUAAAGGUCAUAGAUGGGUAGAUGUGCAGACCUUGGAAAAUGCAACGUGAAUUUGAUCCCUCAAAUAGGAAGUUAGAGGUGUUAGGAAUAGACUGGAUGUUCCCACAGCUUUGUUUUGCCUCUCUGUCGCUAUUGAAUUUCAAUCACUUUUCUUAUUGAUUUGGUUAUUUUUUCAGCACGAUUAGAGGUGCAAAAUUAAGUAGUUGCUAUCCUCAACAUGUCUUUGUAAUAUAAAAGAAGUUUAGAAGACUUAAUAUACUCAAUAUACUUAAUAUACUUAAGAAACAUGUAAGUGCAACAAAUAUUUAUCACUUCCAGAGAUGUUCCUCCUUUCUCCCUUGAAACUCCCGAAGAAUGUAUUAUUUAUUAAGAAUUUUAAUUCCAUUUUUGGAAUAACUUACCACAUGAGAAAGUAAAUAUUGAAGUACCAGGCUGAGAAGAGUAAAGAGGGCAGAGGAGAAGAGACAUUGAUUUUUAUAAAUAAGAAAAAUCUUAGCUGAAAAUAAUAGACAGCUGUCAAAAAAAAAAACUUUCUUGUGUUUCAUCUCAAAGGAAAAUGCUAAUACUUUUUUGUGAACAGUUUUGCCCAGAAGUGAACGUUUUUCUAGGUGAUUAAUUUUGUUCUAUCCUGUGUAUGUUUGUGUAAUGUACAUGCUAAAAUGAGACGUCCUGGUUACCAUAGUGAUGCAUUGCUUUUUUUUUUUUUCCCCCCUUUGUCCCCCCUUCUGUGUCCGUUAAAAUGCUAAAUCCAGAAGAACAGGGAUGCAGCCUUUGCUCAUGCUCUGAAUGCAUGUUUGUUUCCAAGAAGGAGCACACCUUCUCUAUAGGACCAAAAGUAAGAUUCUUUUAAUGAGAUUUUCAGGUAUAAUGAAAGGAAUGCAUUAACACGUGCCAAAAUGCUAAUUUAUUGGCAACAUUAAUUCAGUUAAAAAAUAUUUCCCAUUAUAUUUCUAGUCUAGCAAUAAAUGCGUAUAAUUAGACUAAUUUUACAAUGUAACUGUGCAAGCAAUAAGCAAGCUAUUUUUCAGCUAUGAACUCUUCUAUGGUGUCUCAUCCUCCUAAUAAUUUUUAGUAAGGGGAACACGUUCUCUCUUAACUUUUUGUUUUGUUUGCAGUGUAAUUCAUUUGCUUUCCAACCAAGCAGUGUAGAAGAGGUAAUUUUUCUCUAAAACCAGAUCAGUAAUGAUCUGAACUUCAUGUCUGACGUUGACUUUAAAGUCCCCGGUGCAGAGACUAGUCUUCCGGGGCUCUUUCUGUAGAUACUGAAAAGAUUAAGGUAAUUCAGAGCAGGAACCUAGAAAGCGCUUCAAGCCUCCUAGAUACAGAAGAUGUAUCUAUCUGUUGAUAAGCUUUUCUGCUUACACAAUUCAUUUAAAUCUGGAAAGUGCCUACCCUCCAGUCUAGAUUUCUAGUCCUGAGCAAGGAUCCCUGCUUUUUGAAAUUGAACUGUCCAGUGGUGCUAGUGUCCACUCCUACAUGGUGGUAGUUCAGAUUUUUACUUAAACCUAUCUUUCACCCCUCUCGUAGAGGGCCCUCAUCCCAGAAUAGAGGCUUGGCUUUAGGGAACUUUUUCUGUUUAGAAAUAAUGUGCCUCAGAGCUAGCCAGACUUGGAGACAUCUUGGAGACUUCUAACCUCUUUUUUCCUUUUUUUUUGUUUUUUGUUUUGUUUUGAACACAUCGUAUGCUGUUCAGUUUCUGAGUAAAAACAGAGCCCUCUCUUGUGGUCUAGGACCUGAAGGAAUAUACAAGGUAGUCAAAACCAUAACAGGGAGAUUCCAUGACCUGACACAUCUUUAGGUAGGUUGUGAACACAAUCUAAUGUGUUAUUGCAGAACCACUAAUACCUGACAGUGCUCCAUACAUAUAACAAGUUUCUAAAGGAGAGGGGAAAGGAUAAAAAAUGACUUCGGAUAGGAAUUUAUAAUGCUUGUAAGGAGUAAAACUGCUAGAGUAACUUAACUAACUAUAAAAGUCAAAAAUGUUGAGAGCCAGAUAUCAGAGGCUGUUAUUUUAUGGAAGUCUGAGUCAAAUAUUAAACACUAGAGAAAUAACAUAGUCUAAUGAGUUCUAAACUGGAAUAUUUUUAAUAAUGCAUUCCAUUCUAGCUAGCAUUUCCUAUCUGCCUGAUUCGGAAGCCUCUACUGAAAUUAGCAACAGCAAUUUAAAGCAGAAUAUUUCAUGAGCAAGGGGGUGUUUGUACUUUUUUUACUGAAUGUAGUCUAAUGAAUUUAAUUCCUAUGAAAAACAUAUAUCAGUUUUACUUAAUUGUAAACUUAACUGCAGCUUUUUAUUUUUACAUCUAUUUGAAUUAGAUGACCCCAACUUUAAGUAUACAGGCACAAAAUGGAAAUAAAUUAAUAGCUUCCUAAAUCUGGUUCACUUUUGUAAUUGGCAGCUUGCUUUUGGAUGACAUAUUAUAGAACAUUUUAAUUACUUAAGGUGAAUAGGCCGUGUGGGUUUUAAGACUCCUAAAUUGUCUAAUGUAUGCAUACUGUAAUAUAUCAGUGAUUGGAGACUGUUCUAUUUAACAGUUAAAGCUAUUUUCCUCUUUCUCACGUUUUUUUAAACUCUAGUUUAAAUUGUUCCCACAAAACAGCCAUAAAACCAGGUGUUCUGAAUUUAUGGCUGGUAUGGAUUUUUAGCAGACAGUAGACCAGAUGUCAGUUCAUAAUCCUGAAUGUGUAAUUUACCAUGAUUACAUUUUUUUUCAAUCGCUAUUUUAGUAAUUUGCUUUUUACUGAUUUGUGACAUGGUGAUUUGCAUAACUACUAUAAAGGCUCUGUCCAAGUAUUAUUUGAAAUAAUGGAAACAGUAACAAAAUACAUGUUCUUAAUAAUAGAUUACUGAAUUGAUAAUACUGUAAACUCAAAGUUCUGGCAAAAAGCCUGUGCAAUUGCUGUGAAUUAGCAACCGUAGCCACAACUUUAAGGCAUUUUGCUUUAGGUGAAAACAUUGGAAAAUGUGGUGGUGUUGAAAUUAACAGAAAUCUAGCCUUUCUUGGGUUUGUUCUUUACAUCUGGUAGCACCAAUGAAAGAAAAUGUUUAGGACUUUCCAGGGAAUGCAGCAGGCAGAAACGGGUAGCAAAACAGAGGACUUGUAACAAAGAAAACAAGGGGUGAUUCCACAUAAGGAUGCAUAGUUAAGGAAAAAUAGUCUUUUUCUGUAAUACUGUUUAAAAAGUUAUCUUAACUAAAAUUUCCCUUUUAUAACUUGAAGCUAUUUUCUGUAACUGUCUUGUGGGGAAUUUUCUUAAGAAUUUAACUUCCCAACCCCCCGACAUACUAUAAAUACAAAAUCAAAAAAAACCUAAAAACUAUCCACAAACAAUUUCUUAAGAUGGUAAAUUAAUUAGUGCAGAGAUUUCUGGGUGUUGUGCUGAGCCAAGUUCAGUCCAGGAUGGUUUAUUAGCUUUGGGUAUUCCUGUGGAAGUUGAACCUACUGAACCGCAGCUGGCUUCGUCUCUCUGCUCUCUUCCAGCACUUCUGUGCAGCCACUGCACAAAACAGCCAGUCCAGUACAGCUGGCCUUGAGUCAGAACAAAUAAGCCUGAGCUGAAUUCUGGAGGAGAAUUCGGCUAUACUUUUCCUUGUCCUGCUGGGCAAAGCUAUCUGGGAUAGCUUUAUUAAGAGCUAGGAGCUAACCUGGAUGUCCUUAGGAUCGACUUUUCAAUUGUGUUCAAUCCAUGAAGAGUUUUUUUUUUUUUUUCAGUCUUACCAGGGGAAAAAAAAAAAAA